UACGAAGGGGGCGAGCGUUGUUCGGAAUCACUGGGCGUAAAGGGCGCGUAGGCGACCCUUCUUGUCGCGUGUGAAAUCCCCGGGCUUAACCUGGGAACUGCAUUGGUGACUGGCAGGCUUUGAGUGUGGCAGAGGGAGGUAGAAUUCCACGUGUAGCAGUGAAAUGCGUAGAGAUGUGGAGGAAUACCGAUGGCGAAGGCAGCCUCCUGGGCCAACACUGACGCUCAUGCACGAAAGCGUGGGGAGCAAACAGG
rnacentral:rRNA from 1 species